UACCGAGGGAGCUAGCGUUGUUCGGAAUUACUGGGCGUAAAGCGCACGUAGGCGGCUUUGUAAGUCGGGGGUGAAAGCCUGUGGCUCAACCACAGAAUUGCCUUCGAUACUGCAUGGCUUGAGACCGGAAGAGGUAAGUGGAACUGCGAGUGUAGAGGUGAAAUUCGUAGAUAUUCGCAAGAACACCAGUGGCGAAGGCGGCUUACUGGUCCGGUUCUGACGCUGAGGCGCGAAAGCGUGGGGAGCAAACAGG
rnacentral:rRNA from 1 species